rnacentral:rRNA from 1 species
UACAGGGGGUGCAAACGUUGCUCGGAAUCAUUGGGCGUAAAGCGCACGUAGGCGGUUCGUUAUGUCGGAUGUGAAAGCCCUUGGCUUAACCGAGGAAGUGCAUCCGAAACUGGCGAGCUAGAGUACGAAAGAGGAUCGCGGAAUUCCCGGUGUAGAGGUGAAAUUCGUAGAUAUCGGGAGGAACACCGGUGGCGAAGGCGGCGAUCUGGGUCGAUACUGACGCUGAGAAGCGAAAGCAUGGGGAGCGAACAGG